GGAGCAACGCCGCUGAGUGAUGAAGGUUUUCGGAUCGUAAAGCUCUGUUGUUAGGGAAGAACAAGUACGGUUCGAAUAGGGCGGUACCUUGACGGUACCUAACCAGAAAGCCACGGCUAACUACUGCCAGCAGCCGCGGUAAUACGUAGGUGGCAAGCGUUGUCCGGAAUUAUUGGGCGUAAAGGGCUCGCAGGCGGUUUCUUAAGUCUGAUGUGAAAGCCCCCGGCUCAACCGGGGAGGGUCAUUGGAACUGGGGAACUUGAGUGCAGAAGAGGAGAGUGGAAUUCCACGUGUAGCGGUGAAAUGCGUAGAGAUGUGGAGGAACACCAGUGGCGAAGGCGACUCUCUGGUCUGUAACUGACGCUGAGGAGCAAAGCGUGGGGAGCGAACAGGAUUAGAUACCCUGGUAGUCCACGCCGUAAACGAUGAGUGCUAAGUGUUAGGGGGUUUCCGCCCCUUAGUGCUGCAGCUAACGCAUUAAGCACUCCGCCUGGGGAUACGGUCGCAAGACUGAAACUCAAAGGAAUUGACGGGGGCCCGCACAAGCGGUGGAGCAUGUGGUUUAAUUCGAAGCAACGCGAAGAACCUUACCAGGUCUUGACAUCCUCUGACAAUCCUAGAAUAGGACGUCCCCUUCGGGGGCAGAGUGACAGGUGGUGCAUGGUUGUCGUCAGCUCGUGUCGUGAGAUGUUGGGUUAAGUCCCGCAACGAGCGCAACCCUUGAUCUUAGUUGCCAGCAUUCAGUGGGCACUCUAAGGUGACUGCCGGUGACAAACCGGGAGGAAGGUGGGGAUGACGUCAAAUCAUCAUGCCCCUUAUGACCUGGGCA
rnacentral:rRNA from 1 species